GCCCAGACUCCUACGGGAGGCAGCAGUGGGGAAUAUUGCACAAUGGGGGAAACCCUGAUGCAGCGACGCCGCGUGAGUGAAGAAGUAAUUCGUUAUGUAAAGCUCUAUCAGCAGGGAAGAAAAUGACGGUACCUGAGUAAGAAGCCCCGGCUAACUACGUGCCAGCAGCCGCGGUAAUACGUAGGGGGCAAGCGUUAUCCGGAUUUACUGGGUGUAAAGGGAGCGUAGACGGCAGUGCAAGUCUGGAGUGAAAGCCCGGGGCCCAACCCCGGGACUGCUCUUGGAACUGCGUGGCUGGAGUGCAGGAGGGGCUGGCGGAAUUCCUGGUGUAGCGGUGAAAUGCGUAGAUAUCAGGAGGAACACCGGUGGCGAAGGCGGCCUGCUGGACUGCAACUGACGUUGAGGCCCGAAAGCGUGGGGAGCAAACAGGAUUAGAUACCCGCGUAC
rnacentral:rRNA from 1 species